UACGGAGGGUGCGAGCGUUGUCCGGAAUCAUUGGCGUAAAGAGCGUGUAGGCGGCUCGGUAAGUCCGCUGUGAAAGUCCAGGGCUCAACCCUGGAAUGCCGGUGGAAACUGUCGAGCUAGAGUCCGGAAGAGGCGAGUGGAAUUCCUGGUGGUAGCGGUGAAAUGCGCAGAUAUCAAGGAGGAACACCAAUGGCGAAGGCAGCUCGCUGGGACGGUACUGACGCUGAGACGCGAAAGCGUGGGGAGCAAACAGG
rnacentral:rRNA from 1 species